GGCCGCGGUACCCUAACCGUGCAAAGGUAGCGUAAUCACUUGUCUAUUAAUUGUAGACCCGUAUGAAAGGCAAAAUGAGGGUCUAACUGUCUCUUAUAGUAAAUCAAUUAAACUGAUCUCCCAGUCCAAAAGCUGGGAUCCCCCCAUAAGACCAGAAGACCCUGUGAAGCUUAAACUAAACUAUUAAACCCAAUAAUAACUCCUUUCGGUUGGGGCGACCUUGGAAAAAAAAAGAACUUCCAAAUAUAUGGUCAUUCACCACAUCCACUCCGGCCAACAAGCCUAACACGACCCAGCACAGCUGAUAAUCGAACCAAGCUACUCCAGGGAUAACAGCGCUAUCUUCUUCAAGAGCCCAUAUCAAAAAGAAGGUUUACGACCUCGAUGUUGGAUCAGGACAUCCUAAUGGUGCAGCCGCUA
rnacentral:rRNA from 1 species